rfam:Ictidomys tridecemlineatus contig102868, whole genome shotgun sequence.
GGGGUUGUGGCUCAGUGGUAGAGCAAUUGCCCAGCAUGCAUGAGUCACUGGGUUCAAUCCCCAGCACCA